AUUGAACGCUGGCGGCAUGCUUUACACAUGCAAGUCGAACGGCAGCACGGGGGCAACCCUGGUGGCGAGUGGCGAACGGGUGAGUAAUGCAUCGGAACAUGCCCAGUCGUGGGGGAUAACGUAGCGAAAGUUACGCUAAUACCGCAUACGUCCUGAGGGAGAAAGCGGGGGAUCGCAAGGCCUCGCGCGAUUGGAGUGGCCGAUGUCAGAUUAGCUAGUUGGUGGGGUAAAGGCCUACCAAGGCGACGAUCUGUAGCGGGUCUGAGAGGAUGAUCCGCCACACUGGGACUGAGACACGGCCCAGACUCCUACGGGAGGCAGCAGUGGGGAAUUUUGGACAAUGGGGGCAACCCUGAUCCAGCCAUGCCGCGUGCGGGAAGAAGGCCUUCGGGUUGUAAACCGCUUUUGGACGGAAAGAAAUCGCUUGGGUUAAUACCCUGAGUGGAUGACGGUACCGUAAGAAGCACCGGCUAACUACGUGCCAGCAGCCGCAGUAACAC
rnacentral:rRNA from 1 species